rnacentral:misc_RNA from 1 species
CCAUAACCUACAAGUGUGGAAUACUUCGGGCGCUAGUUCACCCUUCUUAAAAAUACUUAUGUGCAUAAAGCAUUGAGGGCUGAUCAACUUAUCUUUUGAAACGUGGUUAAGUAACCAGGUGAUGCACUCAAAGAGCUAUACAUGUUAUUGAAUGUGAUAAUGCGAUUCAAAGUUAAAGCACACACUAGCAUAUUGAUGAAUGAAGAUGGAACAAUUUUUCUUAAUAUUUCAUCCAUUCAUGUUAAGCCAUCUACAAAGAUAUAAACAGGACCCAACUUUUCAAGAAAACUAAGGACCCUUGAACAUUCUUCGUGCCACAGAGCUGCACAAUGGUGGCAUCUGAUGAGAUAUCAACAGAUGCUGGCUACUUCAAUUCGUUUUCCUUUUGUUUAGAUUCAGUGUCAGUAAAUUCAGUUGCAGAGGAUUGCUCAUUUGCAGAGGCAGUGCGCUGGAUUGGUUUCUUAAACUGCACCAAGAUCAUAGUCAUGUUGUCGCAUCCUUCACCACUUGCCGUUGAUGGUGCCAAACACCUAUCCAGUACUCUAUUGCACACUACAGAAAGCUUGCUUUCCUGCAUUGCUCAAGUGUAGAAACAGUAUCAUUAGACUUUGAAAGGUCUAAAUAUAAGAGUACAACCACCCACGCAUUUCAAAUAUACAGUCUAGACUCAACCACUGAUCAAAGAAUGAAGAGCACCAUCAAUUUCUUGAUAGUUUGAUGUGCUUUCUAGUCCAAGCACUUGUUUAUUAAGUUUAAGCUUUAUGUUGAACAAAUUUCAAUGGAGAAAAGGACAGGAGCAGAGAGUAAACAUUAAACAACCUGGCAUAUGAAGAUCCUAAAAGGGGUCUAAAUGCACAUACCGUUCUGAGUUGUUCAUGAAUAAAAUCUACUAGUUGCUGGCUUGACAAGCAGUCCCAUAUUCCAUCACAUGCUAGCACAAUAAAUUCAUCAUCAUCGCAAAGCUCAACAGUGUUUAUGUCUGGAUUGGCUGUUACAAUUUGUUUUUCUGGAGGCAAAAAUUUAUUCUGCUUGAAUUCCAUGUCACCUAUAGCUCUUGCAAGAUUCAAACUGCCAUUGACCCGUCCUGCAUGUAUGAAACCACCAGCUUUUAGAAUCCUGUCUUUCUCAGCCUCAAGAUCAGGUUUGUGAUCUCUAGACAGAUUAUAUGCCUGGCCUUUUCUAGAUAUCACACAUCGAGAAUCACCAGCAUUAGCAACAACAAGUUGGUGAUUUCUAAUAAUUGCAACACAAGCUGUGCUCCCAGAAGUCGGUCCAGAAAAGUCAGAGUGCGGGCCCUCUUCAAAAGCCCAAUUAUCAGGUUGGUCAUUACUAUCACUACCCCUUGGAGACCAUAUCAACCCUUCUAUCAUGCCCGUGAACUUAUUUAUUUUAUCACCCAAAACAGCUAAUUCCCGCCAUCCUCUUUGUCCACGCAUCAUCUCAUCCAUUCUGGAAGGAACAUAAACAAUGAGAACACGAGUAUGCAUUACUGUUAACGGUUCACAGCAUCUUAUUAAUAAGGAGAGAUAAGUUACAGAGAUAUCAGCUCCCAAAUGACAUAAUAUCAAUGAAAAGGGCGUAACUUUACAAGAUACAAAACAAAAUACAAUGAAGAAAAGAAAUUAACACUACUGAGAAUUUAUAUCAAAAUAUUAAGAAGAAAGUUUAUUUUUGAUAUCAACAAAGAAAAUUAAUGAUAUAAUGAGACCCAACUGUCAAUGUUAUCCAAGAGAAUACAAGACAAAUGCUAGUUAAAAAUGCAGCUUGAUAUUACAAUACAACAAAGGAAUAAAAUGAAAAAUGUCAGUAUCAUUUAUGGGCACAAGUACCACAUAAAUAAUGGCCACUAAGAAACAUCCGGUCAUUUAGGAACAUAAGCGCAUAGAUGACCCUAUUGUCCACUUAAAAUUGACUGCCAUGGGGGAAAAAUAUGAAGGCCGAGGGGGGAAAAAUAUGAAGGACCCUCCAGUAAUUAAAUGAAGCAACCUGAAAAAUGCUUUCUGCACAGAAGUUCCAAUAUCUCCAGCUGAAUAUGCUUCACUCCUCAGGACCUGCUGAUGAAGAAACUUCGCACAAAAUUUUGCAACUACUUUACCUCCAUGGCCGUCAUAAACACCAAAGAAUGAAGUGGAAGCAUCCAAAUCAGGCAGUGCAGCAUGAGAAUCUUCCAUUGUUGCACGCCAACCUUGCAUGGAU